AUUGAACGCUGGCGGCAUGCUUUACUCAUGCAAGUCGAACGGCAGCGCGGGCUUCGGCCUGGCGGCGAGUGGCGAACGGGUGAGUAAUGCAUCGGAACGUGCCUAGUAGUGGGGGAUAGCCCGGCGAAAGCCGGAUUAAUACCGCAUACGACCUGAGGGUGAAAGCGGGGGACCGUAAGGCCUCGCGCUAUCGGAUGAGCCGAGGUCGGAUUAGCUAGUUGGUGGGGUAAAGGCCUACCAAGGCGACGAUCCGUAGCUGGUCUGAGAGGACGAUCAGCCACACUGGGACUGAGACACGGCCCAGACUCCUACGGGAGGCAGCAGUGGGGAAUUUUGGACAAUGGGGGCAACCCUGAUCCAGCCAUGCCGCGUGCGGGAAGAAGGCCUUCGGGUUGUAAAGCGCUUUUGUUCGGGAAGAAAUCCUGUAGGCUAAUACCCCGGGGGGAUGACGGUACCGGAAGAAUAAGCACCGGCUAACUACGUG
rnacentral:rRNA from 1 species